ACGUCGCCAGGGCAACCGUGGCUUUAGAUUGUUACUGUGUGGUGCGUGGGUAACAGUCUACAGCCAUGGUCGCUGGGCCGGACGC
rnacentral:pre_miRNA from 1 species